rnacentral:rRNA from 1 species
UACGAAUGGAGCGAGCGUUGUUCGGAAUCACUGGGCGUAAAGCGUGCGCAGGCGGUUAUGAAAGUCAGAAGUGAAAGCCCAGGGCUUAACCCUGGAAUUGCUUUUGAAACUCCAUGACUAGAGUACUGGAGGGGUUGGCGGAAUUUCGAGUGUAGCAGUGAAAUGCGUAGAUAUUCGAAGGAACACCGAUGGCGUAGGCAGCCAACUAGACAGUAACUGACGCUCAUGCACGAAAGCGUGGGGAUCAAACAGGAUUAGAUACCCUGGUAGUCCACGCCCUAAACGAUGUGUGCUAGUUGUCGGGCCCUUAGGGCUCGGUGACGCAGCUAACGCUUUAAGCACACCGCCUGGGGAGUACGGUCGCAAGAUUA